AGAACGAACGCUGGCGGCAGGCUUAACACAUGCAAGUCGAACGCUCCGCAAGGAGAGUGGCAGACGGGUGAGUAACGCGUGGGAAUCUACCUAGUUCUACGGAACAACAGAGGGAAACUUCUGCUAAUACCGUAUACGCCCUAAGGGGGAAAGAUUUAUCGGAAUUAGAUGAGCCCGCGUAAGAUUAGCUAGUUGGUGGGGUAAUGGCCUACCGAGGCGACGAUCUUUAGCUGGUCUGAGAGGAUGAUCAGCCACACUGGGACUGAGACACGGCCCAGACUCCUACGGGAGGCAGCAGUGGGGAAUAUUGGACAAUGGGCGAAAGCCUGAUCCAGCCAUGCCGCGUGAGUGAUGAAGGCCUUAGGGUGUAAAGCUCUUUCAGUGGGGAAGAUAAUGACGGUACCCACAGAAGAAGCCCCGGCUAAACUUCGUGCCAGUAGCCGC
rnacentral:rRNA from 1 species